rnacentral:rRNA from 1 species
UGGGGAAUCAUGGUCAAUGGGCGAAAGCCUGAACCUGCAACGCCGCGUGAGUGAUGAAGGUUUUCGGAUCGUAAAGCUCUGUCUUUGGGGAAGAUAAUGACGGUACCGCCAGAGGAAGCACCGGCUAACUCCGUGCCAGCAGCCGCGGUAAUACGGAGGGUGCAAGCGUUAUUCGGAAUUACUGGGCGUAAAGGGCGUGCAGGCGGGAGAGCAAGUCUGAUGUGAAAGCCCGGGGCUUAACCCCGGAAGGGCAUUGGAAACUGCUUUUCUUGAGUUCUGGAGAGGAAGGGAGAAUUCCCGGUGUAGAGGUGAAAUUCGUAGAGAUCGGGAGGAAUAUCAGUGGCGAAGGCGCCCAUCUGGACGGUAACUGACGCUGAGACGCGAAAGCGUGGGGAGCAAACA